rnacentral:rRNA from 1 species
GAUCAUGGCUCAGGACGAACGCUGGCGGCGCGCCUAACACAUGCAAGUCGAACGAGCGAGAGAGAGCUUGCUUUCUCGAGCGAGUGGCGAACGGGUGAGUAACGCGUGAAAAACCUGCCUCAAAGAGGGGGACAACAGUUGGAAACGACUGCUAAUACCGCAUAAGCCCACGACCCGGCAUCGGGAAGAGGGAAAAGGAGCAAUCCGCUUUGAGAUGGCCUCGCGUCCGAUUAGCUAGUUGG